ACAAAGAAGGCGGCGCAGGGGUGGAGGGGGCCCGAGCCUCCUGGCCAGGGCGCGUCCUGGGGUCCAGGCUGGACGCCCCAUGAGCCUUUGUCUGCGCCGGGGCAGCAGCACCCGCCAACCCUCCCGCCCCUCCGGCAACCGGGACCCACCAGCCACACCGGAAAGGCCAGUCCCUGGGUCAGGGGCCCGCGCGCGUGGAUGCCAGUCCCCGGGCUCCCGUGGGGAUCCGCCCCGGCCAUCAAGGGGUUCAGUCUGUGCGGUGCCAACUCCCUAACUCAGCUGCUCAUGACUUUACCCUCUGUACUUCAUCAGAGUCCACGACAGCCUUCUGACUUGGUGACCUCUGCUCCCCCGACAGAGGGCCCAGAUGUAACAGCUGAAGUUGUUUCUCAGGCAGAGGUUCCACUCAAAGCCUCCUGCCCUUGUACGACACGCAAAGCCAACAUAUGUCACAGAAAAGAAAGGGCCGUGGGUCCUCACCCACGCUGGACAGGAGAGAGGAAACCAGUCUUGUGCAGGAAGAGCGCAGGGGGGAGGGGUGAAGAUCAGAUGAGCAGGAAAAGGAGGCUCCAGCAGGGCAACGGAGCCCAGAGGGAGUUGGCAAGGCUUGAGAGCUUGGCGAGAAGGUAAAAAUGGGGGAAAGAGCUUUUACCACAAAGGGAGAGACGGCACGGGUACGGAAGCCACCAAAGAGAGUAGGCCCGUGAAGAAAUGAAGAGACUGUUCCCACCUUUCCUUGGCUGAUGAGGAAACUUCUGCCAGGCUGUGGAAUGACUUCUCUCAUGUCACAGAACAAGUUCAGUAGCAAAGCCCGGGGUGGAACCCCACGUGUGCUGUGUGCGUCCUAACCACCCAGUGACAGUGCUGAGUGGCAGCUUUAGGAGCCGAGACUGUGUCCUGUAGUCAGUGAGCCAACAAGAGAACCGGUGAUUUUUUUCCUGGGCCUCGACACGCUUAGUACAGACAUGGAGAAGAAGCCGUGAACAGAAAUGGAGGGUAAGAGGCUUUAGAGGCUGCUCUACAUAUCCUCAUUCCCCUACUGGGUUCCAGCCUAGGAGGGGGCAAACCUGACCAGUUAUAAGACCCAGCUCUAGAAUACAAACAAGCCUGAGUGUCAUCCCGGCCCAGCCUCUUGGUGCCCUAAUGACCUUGGACAAGUCACCUAAUGUCUGUCUCUUUUCUUAAUACAUAAUUAACUUUUAUUUAGUGUGCAUUGGUGUUUUGCCUGCAGGUGUGUCUGUGUGAGGGUGUCAGACGCCCUGGUACUGGAGUGACUGACAGUUGUGAGCUGCCUGUGGGUGCUGGGAAUUGAACCAGGUCGGUGCUCUUAAUGGCCAUCACCUCGGUGUCCUCCUAAGCAAAGGAUCCAGAUUAGCACCAAGUCAUGCAACAGAGCUGUAACUGUCAACCUGACAGAGCCGAGAGUCACCUGAGUGUCUCAGGGGAGGGUUGGCCAGAUCAGACUGGCCUGUGGGCAUGUCUGUGGGGACUGUCUUCGAUGUUGAUGUGAGAGGGAUCUUGGCCCACUGUGGGCGGCACCAUUCCCUGGGCAAGUAGUCCCCGUCUGUGUUGUGAAGUUAGCUAAGCAUGGCCUGUGGGCCAGCUAGCAGGCAGCCUCCUCCAUGGUCUCUGCUGUUCUUCUACGACUGUGAAGUGAGUUCCUUGGCAGUGGUGAAUGCUGUUCGGAACAGCAAGUGGCCUGACUUCAGGUUCCUGCUUGAGUUCCUGCCCUGAUGUCCCUCACGAGCUGUUGUCUGUAAGAUGGAAUAAACCUUUUCUCCUCUG